UGGGGAAUAUUGCACAAUGGAGGAAACUCUGAUGCAGCGACGCCGCGUGAGUGAAGAAGUAAUUCGUUAUGUAAAGCUCUAUCAGCAGGGAAGAUAGUGACGGUACCUGACUAAGAAGCUCCGGCUAAAUACGUGCCAGCAGCCGCGGUAAUACGUAGGUGGCGAGCGUUAUCCGGAUUUACUGGGUGUAAAGGGCGUGUAGGCGGGACUGCAAGUCAGAUGUGAAAACCAUGGGCUCAACCUGUGGCCUGCAUUUGAAACUGUAGUUCUUGAGUACUGGAGAGGCAGACGGAAUUCCUAGUGUAGCGGUGAAAUGCGUAGAUAUUAGGAGGAACACCAGUGGCGAAGGCGGUCUGCUGGACAGCAACUGACGCUGAGGCGCGAAAGCGUGGGGAGCAAACAGGAUUAGAUACCCUGGUAGUCCACGCUGUAAACGAUGGAUACUAGGUGUGGGGGGUCUGACCCCCUCCGUGCCGCAGUUAACACAAUAAGUAUCCCACCUGGGGAGUACGAUCGCAAGGUUGAAACUCAAAGGAAUUGACGGGGGCCCGCACAAGCGGUGGAGUAUGUGGUUUAAUUCGAAGCAACGCGAAGAACCUUACCAGGGCUUGACAUCCCGGUGACCGGUGUAGAGAUACACCUUCUUCUUCGGAAGCGCCGGUGACAGGUGGUGCAUGGUUGUCGUCAGCUCGUGUCGUGAGAUGUUGGGUUAAGUCCCGCAACGAGCGCAACCCUUAUUGUUAGUUGCUACGCAAGAGCACUCUAGCGAGACUGCCGUUGACAAAACGGAGGAAGGUGGGGACGACGUCAAAUCAUCAUGCCCCUUAUGUCCUGGGCCACACACGUACUACAAUGGUGGUCAACAGAGGGAAGCAAGACCGCGAGGUGGAGCAAACCCCUAAAAGCCAUCCCAGUUCGGAUUGCAGGCUGCAACUCGCCUGUAUGAAGUUGGAAUCGCUAGUAAUCGCGGAUCAGCAUGCCGCGGUGAAUACGUUCCC
rnacentral:rRNA from 1 species